rnacentral:rRNA from 1 species
ACGACUGACGGAGCGAAGCGACGUCAAAGCGUUUUACAACGUCGAGUUGGCUUAGGGAUACGUUCGUUGGGUAGGGGAGCGUUCUGUAAGCCGUUGAAGGUGUGUCGUGAGGCAUGCUGGAGGUAUCAGAAGUGCGAAUGCUGACAUAAGUAACGAUAAAGCGGGUGAAAAGCCCGCUCGCCGGAAGACCAAGGGUUCCUGUCCAACGUUAAUCGGGGCAGGGUGAGUCGACCCCUAAGGCGAGGCCGAAAGGCGUAGUCGAUGGGAAACGGGUUAAUAUUCCCGUACUUGGUGUUACUGCGAAGGGGGGACGGAGAAGGCUAUGUUGGCCGGGCGACGGUUGUCCCGGUUUAAGCGUGUAGGUGUGUGUUCCAGGUAAAUCCGGUUCACUUUAACACUGAGGCGUGAUGACGAGGCACCACGGUGCUGAAGCAACAAAUGCCCUGCUUCCAGGAAAAGCCUCUAAGCCUCAGGUAACAUCAAAUCGUACCCCAAACCGACACAGGUGGUCAGGUAGAGAAUACCAAGGCGCUUGAGAGAACUCGGGUGAAGGAACUAGGCAAAAUGGUGCCGUAACUUCGGGAGAAGGCACGCUGACACGUAGGUGAAGUGGUUUACCCAUGGAGCUGAAGUCAGUCGAAGAUACCAGCUGGCUGCAACUGUUUAUUAAAAACACAGCACUGUGCAAACACGAAAGUGGACGUAUACGGUGUGACGCCUGCCCGGUGCCGGAAGGUUAAUUGAUGGGGUCAGCGCAAGCGAAGCUCCUGAUCGAAGCCCCGGUAAACGGCGGCCGUAACUAUAACGGUCCUAAGGUAGCGAAAUUCCUUGUCGGGUAAGUUCCGACCUGCACGAAUGGCGUAAUGAUGGCCAGGCUGUCUCCACCCGGGACUCAGUGAAAUUGAACUCGCUGUGAAGAUGCAGUGUACCCGCGGCAAGACGGAAAGACCCCGUGAACCUUUACUAUAGCUUGACACUGAACACUGGUCCUUGAUGUGCAGGAUAGGUGGGAGGCUUUGAAGUGUGGACGCCAGUCUGCAUGGAGCCAUCCUUGAAAUACCACCCUUUAAUGGCUGGUGUUCUAACGUGGGCCCGUGAACCGGGUUGCGGACAGUGUCUGGUGGGUAGUUUGACUGGGGCGGUCUCCUCCUAAAGAGUAACGGAGGAGCACGAAGGUUGGCUAAUCCUGGUCGGACAUCAGGAGGUUAGUGCAAUGGCAUAAGCCAGCUUGACUGCGAGCGUGACGGCGCGAGCAGGUGCGAAAGCAGGUCAUAGUGAUCCGGUGGUUCUGAAUGGAAGGGCCAUCGCUCAACGGAUAAAAGGUACUCCGGGGAUAACAGGCUGAUACCGCCCAAGAGUUCAUAUCGACGGCGGUGUUUGGCACCUCGAUGUCGGCUCAUCACAUCCUGGGGCUGAAGUAGGUCCCAAGGGUAUGGCUGUUCGCCAUUUAAAGUGGUACGCGAGCUGGGUUUAGAACGUCGUGAGACAGUUCGGUCCCUAUCUGCCGUGGGCGCUGGAAGAUUGAGGGGGGCUGCUCCUAGUACGAGAGGACCGGAGUGGACGCAUCACUGGUGUUCGGGUUGUCAUGCCAAUGGCACUGCCCGGUAGCUACAUGCGGAAGAGAUAAGUGCUGAAAGCAUCUAAGCACGAAACUUGCCCCGAGAUGAAUCUUCCCUGAGCCUUUAAGGCUCCUGAAGGAACGUUGAAGACGACGACGUUGAUAGGCCGGGUGUGUAAGCGCAGCGAUGCGUUGAGCUAACCGGUACUAAUGAACCGUGAGGCUUAACCUUACAAC